rnacentral:rRNA from 1 species
CACUCCUGCGGGAGGCAGCAGUGGGGAAUAUUGGACAAUGGGGGCAACCUUGAUCCAGCCAUGCCGCGUGAGUGAUGAAGGCCCUAGGGUUGUAAAGCUCUUUUGUGCGGGAAGAUAAUGACGGUACCGCAAGAAUAAGCCCCGGCUAACUUCGUGCCAGCAGCCGCGGUAAUACGAAGGGGGCUAGCGUUGCUCGGAAUCACUGGGCGUAAAGGGUGCGUAGGCGGGUCUUUAAGUCAGGGGUGAAAUCCUGGAGCUCAACGCCAGAACUGCCUUUGAUACUGAGGAUCUUGAGUCCGGAAGAGGUGAGUGGAACUGCGAGUGUAGAGGUGAAAUUCGUAGAUAUUCGCAAGAACACCAGUGGCGAAGGCGGCUCACUGGUCCGGUACUGACGCUGAGGCACGAAAGCGUGGGGAGCAAACAGGAUUAGAUACCCUAGUAGUCCC